UACGUAGGGGGCAAGCGUUGUCCGGAUUUAUUGGGCGUAAAGAGCGUGUAGGCGGCUUUACAGGUCCGUUGUGAAAACUCGAGGCUCAACCUCGAAGACGCCGGUGGAAACCGUAAAGCUAGAGUCCGGAAGAGGAGAGUGGAAUUCCUGGUGUAGCGGUGAAAUGCGCAGAUAUCAGGAAGAACACCCGUGGCGAAGGCGGCUCUCUGGGACGGUACUGACGCUGAGACGCGAAAGCGUGGGGAGCGAACAGG
rnacentral:rRNA from 1 species